UUAGUGGCAGACGGGUGAGUAACAUGUAGGUAUCUGCCCUUUGGCCUGGAAUAACACGAGGAAACUUGUGCUAAUACCGGAUAAGUCUUUACGGAGAAAGCUUUAUGCACCAUUGGAUGAGCCUGCACUUGAUUAGUUUGUUGGUGGGGUAAUGGCCUACCAAGACUGUGAUCAAUAGCUGAUUUGAGAGGAUGAUCAGCCACAUUGGGACUGAGACACGGCCCAAACUCCUACGGGAGGCAGCAGUGGGGAAUCUUGCACAAUGGAGGAAACUCUGAUGCAGCGAUGCCGCGUGAGUGAAGAAGGCCCUUGGGUUGUAAAGCUCUUUCGUCGGGGAAGAAAAUGACUGUACCCGAAUAAGAAGGUCCGGCUAACUUCGUGCCAGCAGCCGCGGUAAUACGAAGGGACCUAGCGUAGUUCGGAAUUACUGGGCUUAAAGAGUUCGUAGGUUGUUGAAAAAGUUAGUGGUGAAAUCCCAGAGCUUAACUCUGGAACUGCCAUUAAAACUUUUCAGCUAGAGUAUGAUAGAGGAAAGCAGAAUUUCUAGUGUAGAGGUGAAAUUCGUAGAUAUUAGAAAGAAUACCAAUUGCGAAGGCAGCUUUCUGGAUCAUUACUGACACUGAGGAACGAAAGCAUGGGUAGCGAAGAGGAUUAGAUACCCUCGUAGUCCAUGCCGUAAACGAUGUGUGUUAGACGUUGGAAAUUUAUUUUCAGUGUCGCAGGGAAACCGAUAAACACACCGCCUGGGGAGUACGACCGCAAGGUUAAAACUCAAAUGAAUUGACGGGGACCCGCACAAGUAGUGGAGCAUGUGGUUUAAUUCGAAGAUACGCGCAGAACCUUACCAACACUUGACAUGUUCGUCGCGACUCUAAGAGAUUAGAGUUUUCGGUUCGGCCGGACGAAACACAGGUGCUGCAUGGCUGUCGUCAGCUCGUGUCGUGAGAUGUUGGGUUAAGUCCCGCAACGAGCGCAACCCUCACUUUUAGUUGCCAUCAUUAAGUUGGGCACUCUGAAAGAACUGCCAGUGAUAAGCUGGAGGAAGGUGGGGAUGACGUCAAGUCCUCAUGGCCCUUACGUGUUGGGCUACACACGUGCUACAAUGGUAUCUACAACAGGAAGCAAGACUGCGAAGUUAAGCAAAUCCCUAAAAGAUACCUCAGUUCGG
rnacentral:rRNA from 1 species